UGUAGUGUGCACACUUAUAUAAUCUCUGUUCAGUCAUUAUUUAGGCUCAGUACGUGUUACUUGGGUUUUUUUCUGUCACGACCAUUCCAAACGGCUUGUAUGUUUAAGGUUCUACCGCAUUCGCCAUUUUGAUGAUUGUUCGGUGUCUUAUUGCAUUAACAGCGUGUAGUCAAUACUUUGUACAUGAUAAUUUUUUUUUUAAAUAACCAUUAUUUUCUAACGUUUAAUUUGUCUUGUGUUAUUGUAUUCUCAAAAAACAAUGUUCGGACGUAUCUUGCGUGAUUUUUGUCGACGACCAGCCCUUUUGGACGGGCAAAAUGUCAGCCGUUACUUACAUGUCACAUUGCCAUCGGAGAAAAAUAGAGACCGUCGUAGUUAUCUUGCUUCGGUUCCUUCGAAAGACGAAGGUACCGAAGGCGAGAAAUUCGUUUACAUUGACUCCGCAAUAACGAAGAAAGAAGACAUGUUUCCCGAUGUGAACACGCCGAAUAUGCUUUUUGGAGCAGUAAAAUUUUCAGAAGUACCUAUUUGUCACAUUAAAUCGUCCAGUAAUAAUACAAUUCUUCAUGUCACUAAAGCUAAUGGAGAAAGAAUAAUGAUCAGAUCCUGUGGUAUGGAAGGUUUCAAAAAUACAAGAAAAGGAACUAAUAUUGCUGCUCAAGCUACAGCAAUAAGUCUUGCUGCAAGAGUGUUAGAAUUAGGAAUUCAUACAGUUCGGGUAAAAAUUCAAGGAUUAGGACCCGGAAGAAUGUCAUCUAUUAAAGGUUUAACAAUGGGCGGACUUAAAAUUAUAUCUGUAACAGACAAUACUCCAGUUUCAUGGAAUCCACUAAGAUCAAGAAAACAGCGAAAGUUGUAAUUAUGUUAAUGCUUCAGAAGAUGACUCUUCAGAUUCUGAUCAAAAUAAUGAGAACUCUGGUUCAUUAUCAUCAUCUAGUUCUGAAAGAGUACUAUAUGCUCAUCACUGAUUGUUCUGAAUCAUUGUAACAAAUUUUCACUAAAUUGGUAAGAGUGUC